UUAUUAUGGUUUUGAGUUCGAAAUGGUUUUACACAAAGGAAAACAUGGAAUCAAUACAUGACUGCAAUUUUCACCCUCUUUAUUUUUGUUCAUUUCCCGGCAACUCCAGAAUUUCAAACUUGAAUGAACAUAUAUACCAGCGUUAUAUGAACAUUAGCUCUAUCUGCUGCUCCUCUCAGGUUCAUCUCAGGUUCAUGGAGCUGCAGAAGCAAUGAGUUGGUGACAACAAAUAUUGAGCUCAAAGCCAUCAGCCCACCUGAAAGUGACGGAGUCAUGGCAAAAUCACAUUGGGGAAGCAGUACCCCAGCGGCAAUGGGAAUGGCAACAACAUUGUAAGCAAUAGCCCAAGAUAAAUUUUGAUACACUUUGGCCAUUGUUGCCCGUGCCAGAUCCAAUGCAUCUACAACCUGUGAGAGUCUGUUCCCAAGAAGUAUAAUAGAUGCUACAUCAGAUGCAGCAUUUUCUUGAGCUUCAUUCUGCAGGGCAAUCCCAACAUCGGCAAGAGCCAAAGAAGGUGCAUCAUUUAUCCCAUCACCUACCAUUGCAACGCGAUGCCCUGCAGCUUGAAGAGUUGAUAUAACACCAGAUUUCUGUUGUGGAGUCAAGGAUGCAUUGAUAAAUUCAGCUCCUAUUCCAACUCGGUUUGCAAUGUUUGCAACUGCCUCUUCCCUAUCUCCUGACACGAGGAGUGUAUUGAUACCUUUAAGCUGGAGCCUAUGUACAGUUGAUUCAGCAUCAUGGCGCAAACUAUCGGAUAUUGCAAUGGCACCAAUGAUGCCUUCCCCUUCACGUCCAACAUAGACGACCGUUUUUGAAUAGUUUGAUGAUAAAAUCCCUUUAGAUGACUGAGAUGCUACAGCAUUUUCCAGAUUCCUCAGAUCUGACAGGUUUGUCCUUCUCUGGAAUCGUUCAUGAACCCAAUCUAAACUACCAACCGCAACCAAACAUCUGUCUACUUCUGCUAAGGUUCCAAAACCUGGUUCUGUCAAUUGCCCUCUUGUUUCUGGGAUAGUCAAUUUCAUUGAUUCUGCUUCAUUCACAAUAGCUUUUGCAAUUGGAUGCAAUGCUGUUUUCUCCACUGCAGCAGCAAUUUGAAGAAUUUCUGAUUCCUCAUACGCAAUUGAAGCCACAGCAGAAACAGCAGGUUUUCCUUCGGUGAGGGUACCAGUCUUGUCUAAAGCAAUGUAAUUAAUGCUUGAAAAGCGUUCCAAUACGUCUCCUCCUCUUAUAAGAAGUCCUUGCUUAGCUCCAAGUGAAGUUCCAACUAGAAUUGCAGUGGGUGUGGCAAGUCCCAAUGCACAGGGACAGGAAACUACCAAGACAUCCACGGAAAGUUUCAAGCUCAAAAGCAAAGCGUCUCCAUUGGGUCCAGCAAUAUCAUUGAGCAAAACAUCUGGAAAAACAUGCGAUCCAAUGUAGUACCAAAAAGCAAAUGUCGCUGCUGAAAUGGUCAUUACACUGUAUACAAAUGGCCCAGCUAAUGAAUCUGCAAGUCUUUGUAUGGGUGCUUCAUGACCUUGAGCUUCCUCAACCAUGUGAAAAAUCCUAGAUAUUGUUGAGUUGGAACCAGUAGAGGACGCCUCGAUCCUUAAAGGACCAUCCCAGUUUAUAGUUCCAGCUGAGACUUUAAGGCCUUCUUCCUUAAAUACAGGUAGCGAUUCUCCUGUGAGCAUGGAUUCAUCCACAACACUUCUUCCUGCAAGAACCCUACCAUCUACUGGAAUAGUUUCGCCA
rnacentral:misc_RNA from 1 species